rnacentral:siRNA from 1 species
GUGAGUGGGCCUUGGACCAUGAA